rnacentral:sRNA from 1 species
ACUUCCGGAGCUGCGGGGACGACUCUUCUGGAGGAAGCAGCGCGGGCUUGACCGGCGUCGGCCCGCCGCCUCUGCUGCCGCUUCGCCCCAAUCCGGUCCCUCUGGCCCGGCCUGACCCGGUCUGGCUUGUUCGGGCUCAGCGGCCGCGAGGCCGCAGCUCCCGGUAUCUCAUUCAGUUGCUAAACUUAUAUUAGUUAAUUUCCACUGGCAAGUUUCAGAGAUAUUGGACAGAUACAAGUCCAAUUCUGCUCAACUGCUUGUUGAGGCUCGAGUUCAGCCUAAUCCAUCAAAACAUGUUCCCACAUCCCAUCCCCCUCACCACUGUGCAGUGUGUAUGCAGUUUGUGCGAAAGGAAAACCUACUCUCUCUGGCCUGUCAGCACCAGUUUUGCCGCAGCUGCUGGGAGCAGCACUGCUCAGUUCUCGUCAAGGACGGCGUGGGCGUGGGAGUCUCUUGUAUGGCUCAGGACUGUCCACUCCGUACACCAGAGGACUUUGUGUUUCCAUUGCUUCCCAGUGAAGAAUUGAGAGAGAAAUACAGGCGCUACCUCUUCAGAGACUAUGUGGAGAGUCAUUACCAGCUCCAGCUGUGCCCUGGUGCAGACUGCCCCAUGGUUAUUCGAGUACAAGAGCCUAGAGCUCGCCGAGUACAGUGCAAUCGGUGCAACGAGGUCUUCUGUUUCAAGUGUCGUCAGAUGUAUCACGCACCCACAGACUGCGCCACAAUCCGGAAAUGGCUCACGAAGUGUGCAGACGACUCUGAAACAGCCAACUACAUUAGUGCUCACACUAAAGACUGUCCCAAGUGCAACAUCUGCAUUGAGAAGAAUGGAGGCUGCAAUCACAUGCAAUGCUCCAAAUGUAAACACGACUUCUGCUGGAUGUGUCUAGGAGAUUGGAAGACUCAUGGCAGUGAAUACUAUGAGUGCAGUCGUUACAAGGAGAAUCCUGACAUUGUGAACCAGAGCCAACAAGCCCAGGCGAGGGAAGCCCUCAAGAAGU